GGUGAGUAACACGUGGAUAACCUACCUAUAAGACUGGGAUAACUUCGGGAAACCGGAGCUAAUACCGGAUAAUAUUUUGAACCGCAUGGUUCAAAAGUGAAAUACUGUCUUGCUGUCACUUAUAGAUGGAUCCGCGCUGCAUUAGCUAGUUGGUAAGGUAACGGCUUACCAAGGCAACGAUGCAUAGCCGACCUGAGAGGGUGAUCGGCCACACUGGAACUGAGACACGGUCCAG
rnacentral:rRNA from 1 species